rnacentral:misc_RNA from 1 species
UGGAAGUAAAAGUCGUAACAAGGUUUCCGUAGGUGAACCUGCGGAAGGAUCAUUAAAAAAUAUCACUCGAUUGAGAGUGAUUUAAUAAUCAUCCUACCCUUUGUGAAUUUGUUGUUUGAAAUAAUUUUUUUUGAUUUUAAAAAAAAAUUAUUUAUGGUUUUGUCUAUCCCUAAAAUUGGUUUGUUUGUUGUAAAAGACAAGUGAAUCAAUUUAGGGAAUAGGCUUUCAUAAAUAAGUUUUUUUAAAGUCUUAAAGACCUUUUUUUAAAAUUAAACUUUUGUAUUCAUUUGUCUAAAUUUUUUUUAAAAUAAUUUAAAAACAACUUUUGACAAUGGAUCUCUUGGUUCUCGCAACGAUGAAGAACGCAGAAAAAUGCGAUAAGUAAUGUGAAUUGCAGAAUACGUGAAUCAUCAAAUCUUCGAACGCAUAUUGCACUUUUUUAGUUUACUAAAAAAGUAUGUCUGUUUGAGUAUCAGUAAAAUAUUCUCAUAAAAACAUUUUUUGUUUUUAUGGUUAUGAGUGUUUUACAACGAUAAACAAGUCGUUUCACUUUAAAUUCAUUUUAAUUAAGACCUUUAUGGUUUUAAUAAUUAAAAUUGGAUAAAAUUUUCCCGUAAAAGGAAUAAACUUUUCAGUUUUAGUUAGAGAAAUCUCGGUCCGAUUUUAAAAGGAAAUUUAUUUUAAAUAACUUGAUCUCAAAUCAGAUAAGAGUACCCGCUGAACUUAAGCAUAUCAAUAAGCGGAGGAAAAGAAACUAACAAGGAUUCCCUUAGUAACGGCGAGUGAAGCAGGAAGAGCUCAAAUUUGAAAUCUUCAAGGUUCUACCUUGACGAAUUGUAGUUUAAAGAAGUGUUUUCUGUUAGAUGAGUAGCAAAAGUUCCUUGGAAUGGGACAUCAUAGAGGGUGAGAAUCCCGUAUUUGGUUAUUCAUUCUAGCUUUGUGAUACACUUUCAAAGAGUCGGAUUGUUUGGGAAUGCAGUCCAAAAUGAGUAGUAAAUUUCAUCUAAAGCUAAAUAUUGGCGAGAGACCGAUAGCGAACAAGUACCGUGAGGGAAAGAUGAAAAGAACUUUGAAAAGAGAGUUAAACAGUACGUGAAAUUGUCAAAAGGGAAGCGUUUGACACCAGUGUUGUUUUUCCGAAAAUCAAUUACGAAUGGCUUGAUUUUGUGUUGUAUUGACCUUAUCAGCUUUCUUCACUUUUUUCGAGUCUUUCUUAAUGCACUUUUCGGUUAACAAGUCAACAUCAAUUUCUUUUGUUGUAAAAGAGUAUUCGGAAGGUGGCUUUCUUUUCGGAGAAAGUGUUUAUAGCCCUAUACUUCUACAAUCGGAGAGAUUGAGGUCUGCAGCGUAGAUCCUUCGGGGUUAGAUACAUUUGUGCUAAGUUGUAGCUUCUCAUAGACAACUUGUUGACUAUGUUUAGUCAUGCGGCUUACUCGCUUAUACUAUUUUACCUAC